UUUAAUUAGCAUGAGUAAAGUGUUAUAAUCGGUUUGCCAUGUGGCUCUCUCGAUUCGCAUUCAGCAGAGCUAGUGUUUGCUUCCUGGUUUGUAUGUAGGCGCGGAUGUGCCCUGCGGUUCUGGCCUAUCAGUGGCGAGUGUGGUACAGGAAGUGUUGGUGAGCUGUUUAUGUGCAUGCCUUGUGCAGACCAGCAAGUGCGGGUCUGUUUGGAUAGCCCCUUUGAAGGAAUAACUUAAUUGAGUUGAAUUGCUGUAACGUUGAGCUUGAGUUAGGCUAUAUUAAAAACAUUUCUUUUGACACACGUGGCAUUGUGUUUGUUUUAGAAGGAGCUUGGUUGAAGUGAAAAGCCUUUUAAAUUGUUACGCCGUUGAGCGUACGGGUGGAGAGAAUAAUUGAACUGUGUUUUGGUUACAGCACUGAGUUUUUUAUUUUUUCUCUGCUUCUGUGCUGCGGUCGCCGAUUGAGCAGGGGUAAUCGAUGGUACCACGUGUGGCCCCGACACCACGUCUGUCUGUGUCCAGGGCCAGUGUGUGAAAGCGGGCUGUGAUCAGGUGAUUGGGUCCAAACAAAAACUGGACAAGUGUGGUGUGUGUGGAGGGAAUGGUUCCAGGUGUAGGAAGGUCACUGGCUCCAUGAACAAAGCCAUGUAUGGCUAUAACGAUGUUGUGACCAUCCCAGCUGGGGCCACCAACAUCGAUGUCAAGCAGCGCAGCCAUCGUGGAGUGAAACACACACCUUGCUGUGUGAACUGACUUCCCUCCUGCAGAAUACAGAAUACUGAUUUUUUACAUGGAUUUGUCCACAGAUAAAAUGGUUUGGCUUGAAAAGUGCGAGUUAAAAUAUUUUGAUUCUUC